GCCCGGGUGGCUCAGUCAGUUAAGCAUCUGACUUCAGCUCAGGUCAUGAUCUCACAGUUUGUGAGUUUGAACCUCACAUUGGGCU
rnacentral:tRNA from 1 species